UUUUUUUUUUUUUUUAAGUUGCAAGGGAUCCACCAGAUGGAAUUAAGAAAACUAAGCUUUUAUCAUCUGCUGGAUAUAAUGUGAUUUUGUAACCAUUAUUGGAUUGGUGUUGGUUUAGACAAUUUAGUUUCAGCUGACUGUAUAGUUAAUUCUGGGACUCUUAUAAAGUUUUUUUAAAAAAGAGAAAAAGAGAAGAUCAAAAGCACUGGAACUCACGAGUAAAUAACCCAUAGUAACAGAGAGAUAUAAUGCAGUGAUGUCAAAGGUGUACAAGAAGUGUGAAUCAUUUAACAUGUGAAGCCAGGGUCUUUAGUCCACUUGGGGAGAGCAAAGUAAAAAUAUUUACACCAGCAGCUCCAGUUCAUACCAAUAAAGAAGAUCCUGCUACCCAAACUAAUCUGGGAUUUAUCCAUGCAUUUGUCGCUGCCAUAUCAGUUAUCAUUGUAUCUGAAUUGGGUGAUAAGACCUUUUUUAUAGCAGCCAUCAUGGCAAUGCGCUAUAACCGCCUGACCGUGCUGGCUGGUGCAAUGCUUGCCUUGGGACUAAUGACAUGCUUGUCAGUUUUGUUUGGCUAUGCCACCACAGUCAUCCCCAGGGUCUAUACAUACUAUGUUUCAACUGUAUUAUUUGCCAUUUUUGGCAUUAGAAUGCUUCGGGAAGGCUUAAAGAUGAGCCCUGAUGAGGGUCAAGAGGAACUGGAAGAAGUUCAAGCUGAAUUAAAGAAGAAAGAUGAAG
rnacentral:sRNA from 1 species